ACGCGGUUUGGUACUUUGGUUGGGAAUGCUAGCGUCUGUUGGACCCGUCAGAUGGGUACCUAGGCACCUAUUAGCUCCUAUAAACUAGUACUUGGAAACGCGUUAUUCCCCUAGAGAUAUUUCGCCCACACUACAACACUAGACUUUCGUAUUUUGUUGUAACGUGGUCUCAGCGCCUUGAGCAGCGGGCGCGCGGUCUUGCAACGUCGCACUCUCGACCGACGACCUCGCGUUAUCGCCCGCCAGCGCGCGCGAUACGCAAAAGGGUCACCAGUCGCCGCGGCGCUCGCCGACGCCUAAUGUCUUCAGUCAGCAUCAUCAAUAUAAACAAUAGCAGUUUCCACAUUGAACACCAUAAGCACACCGUGGAAAUAACUAUUGCUGCGACGUGGCGACGCCGCGCUCCGUCUCGUUCUCGCGCGUCCGCCGUCUCCUAGCUCCGCCCCUCUCCGACCGCAGCGCCGCCGAGCGGCCGCGACGGGAAUGUACACGUCGCUCGAAAUCUACACGUUGCCACUCCGUACCAAUAAUUUCGCUGGACGUAAAUUUUAACCUAAACAGUUCAAUGUACUUUUCGGAAAAUCAAAACGCGUCUGUUUCCACAAAACGUCUUAUGUUGUACCGGUUAUUGUAAAAUAGUGUUGUAAAACGUUAUAUUUUCGUAUUACUGUGAUAUCUAGUGAUAGUUGCGUGUCGUGCGUGUGAGAAAUUGUGAACACAGUCCUGUUGGAGGAUUUUAACACUGUUUCUAGCUAAAAAGUUGGUGCAGUGUGGGCUUGGCCGUGUGCAGUGUCCGUGCUAGUGUAUGUGUGUGUGUGAGUGCCCGAUGGCGCGGAGCUAGCGGCGUGUCCCGGCAUGCGCGCCGCCUAGCCAUGCCCGCUGUGCACCAUCCCACAUGGCGCAAUACACACAAAGGACUCAGCCGAUGCACAGGUAA
rnacentral:lncRNA from 1 species